rnacentral:tRNA from 1 species
UAGAAGAUAGUAUAGGGGUAGUACGGAAAGUUUUGGGCUUUCUGGUCUAAGUUCGAUUCUUAGUUUUCUAG